AAACAGUUUACUCCUUUUUUCAGGAAUGUUCAGCCCAUUGAUAUUCAAGGAUAUUACAUUGACUUCAGCCAUUGUUAAUCAGGUGUGGAUACGUCAGUCCAGCUUUCUUUAUCGGGCAGUUCCGGGAUAGCAGGAGCCAAUAACUUACAGAUUCGCUGUCGGACUCAUCAGCGGGACUUCUAGCACGCCGUGGCGCCAUCUUGGAUCCCUGACGACACUGUUCAGAGUCUGUCGAUGUGAAGAACUGUUUCAAUAAGCGCUGUGAGUCUUUCGCUUUAACGCUCCUGCAUUCCUCACCAUCAUAUUCUUUAGUUUUACCAUGUUUGCCCAUGAUUCCAAUCCACAGCAGGCGUGACACCGGGUUUGUGUAGCGGAGCUCCGGUCUUAUGCGACUGCCAUGCUCGGCGGUUAACCACGCCCCCGUGUGGGUUCAUAUUAUCUUUAUUUGGAGCAGAGAAAUAUUAUUACAUUGAAGCAGGUGCUAAUGGUGCAAUAUAUCUUAUCAGUGCAGCUUAUUUUGGAGGACCUCUAUUCAUUACAAUGGGGGAAAUGGUAUGAUAUGUUCCCCCACAGUAAACUGGAUGCCCCAUUUGAGACCCUCUGAUUUACAAAGAUCAGGAGCAAGCCUCACUGGAUGAUUCUCUUGCAUUUUUGAGUAGCCAAACAUAAAGCACUG